rnacentral:rRNA from 1 species
CCUACGGGAGGCAGCAGUGAGGAAUAUUGGUCAAUGGGCGCUAGCCUGAACCAGCCAAGUAGCGUGAAGGAUGACUGCUUUAUGGGUUGUAAACUUCUUUAAUAUGGGAAUAAAGUGCAGUAUGUAUACUGCUUUGCAUGUACCUUAUGAAUAAGGAUCGGCUAACUCCGUGCCAGCAGCCGCGGUAAUACGGAGGAUCCGAGCGUUAUCCGGAUUUAUUGGGUGUAAAGGGAGCGUAGGCGGGUUGUUAAGUCAGUUGUGAAAGUUUGCGGCUCAACCGUAAAAUUGCAGUUGAUACUGGCGUCCUUGAGUGCAGUAGAGGUAAGCGGAAUUCGUGGUGUAGCGGUGAAAUGCUUAGAUAUCACGAAGAACUCCGGUUGCGAAGGCAGCCUACUGGACUGUAACUGACGCUGAUGCUCGAAAGUGUGGGUAUCAAACAGGAUUAGAUACCCUUGUAGUC